rnacentral:rRNA from 1 species
GCCUAAAGCGUCCGUAGCCGGCUCUGUAAGUUUUCGGUUAAAUCCAUAUGCUCAACAUAUGGGCUGCCGGGAAUACUGCAUAGCUAGGGAGUGGGAGAGGUAGACGGUACUCCGUAGGAAGGGGUAAAAUCCCUUGAUCUAUGGAUGACCACCUGUGGCGAAGGCGGUCUACCAGAACACGUUCGACGGUGAGGGAUGAAAGCUGGGGGAGCAAACCGGAUUAGAUACCCGGGUAGUCCCAGCUGUAAACUAUGCAAACUCAGUGAUGCAUUGGCUUGUGGCCAGUGCAGUGCCGCAGAGAAGUCGUUAAGUUUGCCGCCUGGGAAGUACGUACGCAAGUAUGAAACUUAAAGGAAUUGGCGGGGGAGCACCACAAGGGGUGAAGCCUGCGGUUCAAUUGGAGUCAACGCCAGAAAUCUUACCCGGAGAGACAGCAGGAUGAAGGUCAAGUUGAAGCCUUUACCAGACAAGCUGAGAAGUGGUGCAUGGCCGUCGCCAGCUCGUGCCGUGAGGUGUCCUGUUAAGUCAGGUAACGAGCGAGAUCCUUGCCUCUAGUUGCCACCAUUACUCUCAGGAGUAGUGGGGUGAAUUAGCGGGACUGCCGUAGUUAAUACGGAGGAAGGAGAGGGCCACGGCAGGUCAGUAUGCCCCGAA